GGCGCUGAGAAGGGCUUGCGGAUCAGCUAGCGGCUGGCUUUGGGGACAGUCACACGCCCAGCCCUCCGGGCACCGGGCACGGAGCCCAGCAGACAGGGGAGGACAGCCCGCAGAGCUCCUGAUGGCCCCAGGGCCCUGGAGACUGGCAGCGGGGCAGGAGACGGAACAGGAUUGGAGCAGUUGUGCGACGGUUUCUGCCCACACGGAGGAAAACAAGGCUCCAGAAUGUGUAAUCAACACAGUCUGAGUGAGAAGGCAUGCCAGUCCUCCAGGAGGCUUGUUCUUUUGUGCCUUGACCUCACUGCCCAUUGGUGCCAGGAGGGGGAUGAGGGACCCACGCAGCAGGACCAAACUGCCCCAAGCAAGCCCAGCUGAUAUCAUCCAACGGCCGACGUCCGCACAAGUCCGGUCAAGCCUGCUCAAGCCUGGGCAAGACCAG
ensembl:lncRNA